rnacentral:tRNA from 1 species
GGGCCCAUGGCGCAGCGGCAGCGCAGCGGACUCAUAAUCUGUUGGUCGCAGGUUCGAAUCCUGCUGGGCCCACCA